UGAGUUGGUUAGACAAUCGCUGGUUUAUUGAAGCCCUUAACCGUUCGUAAGAACGACCUAGUGGGACAAGUAAACGAGAGGAAAGUCCGAGCUACACAGGGCAGAGUGCCAGAUAACGUCUGGGAGGCGUGAGCCUACGACUAGUGCAACAGAGAGCAGACCGCCAGUUUCUGCUGGUAAGGGUGAAAGGGUGCGGUAAGAGCGCACCGCGUGAGUGGUAACAUUUCACGGCACGGUAAACUCCACUCGUAGCAAGACCAAAUAGGAAUCCAACGAGUUGCCCGCUUGGGAUUCGGGUAGGUUGCUCGAGCGUAUGUGUGAAUGUACGCCUAGAGGAAUGAUUGUCCACGACAGAACUCGGCUUAUCGACCGACUCAGCCU
rfam:Haemophilus parasuis SH0165, complete genome.